UACGGAGGGGGCUAGCGUUGUUCGGAAUUACUGGGCGUAAAGCGCGCGUAGGCGGACCUGCAAGUCGGGGGUGAAAGCCCGAGGCUCAACCUCGGAACUGCCUUCGAUACUGCGGGUCUCGAGUCCGGGAGAGGUGAGUGGAAUUCCUAGUGUAGAGGUGAAAUUCGUAGAUAUUAGGAAGAACACCAGUGGCGAAGGCGGCUCACUGGCCCGGUACUGACGCUGAGGCGUGAAAGCGUGGGGAGCAAACAGG
rnacentral:rRNA from 1 species